CUAUUGAAACUUCCUUUCCUCGUCUGGGAGAUGAUUCCUUCUCUAUCUCUCGGAUUUUUUAUGAAGACUAGUGCAAGAAGGAUGUCCAUGAAUGAAGACGUGCCUUGCUUUACUAACAAAUAAAGAAAGAAAAACUCUACCAAAGGUUAUAUGAUUAAGACCAAUGUGAAAAUAUCGAGAAAAACAUGGUCUUGUAGGGCUAGGUUUAAACCAGAAUUUAUAGAAAGAUUAAAAGAUUCCCUAGGUGUAGCUAAAAGUUCAUUAUCUUCUUGAUUAAAAGAUAGGACCUUAGCUAUAGAAUUGGGUUAGUUUUGACCUAUUGCAAUCAACUCCAGACACAGAUCAUAAUUAGGGGCAAGGAUAGGACUUGUUGACUCCCAUGGUCUAUGGCUGGUCUCCGAAGGUGCAAAAAAUUCAAUAAUAGGUGUGGAAUUUGAGUUAUCCAUAAAGAUGGAAAAAAUAAAAAGAUAAAAGAAUAAAAGUAUAAAAGUACAAUAAAAGAUAAUAGCAAGACUUAAAGUUAUCUCAGCAAACUGUCUUUCUCCCCGGCAACGGCGCCAGAAAUGCUUGUUGAUAUUUGGUAACGCCAUUAGGAAAUGAUCCGCAAGCGCACGGAUAUCGGUGAGCACUUCACCCGGGAGGUUAUCUAGAGUAUCGUAUUUAUAUUUUUACCACU
rnacentral:lncRNA from 1 species